UCUGUGGACUGUUAUAUAAACGAGAAUAGAUAGACAAUGAACUUCUGCGAAGUUCAUUGUCAUUGAAAUUGGACAGGUUGAAACAGAAA
rnacentral:ncRNA from 1 species